rnacentral:rRNA from 1 species
UACGUAGGGGGCAAGCGUUGUCCGGAAUCAUUGGGCGUAAAGCGCGUGUAGGCGGCUAGAUAAGUCUGCUCUGAAAGUCCGGGGCUCAACCCCGGGAGGCGGGUGGAUACUGGAUGGCUCGAGUUUGGGAGAGGGAUGCGGAAUUCCAGGUGUAGCGGUGAAAUGCGUAGAUAUCUGGAGGAACACCGGUGGCGAAGGCGGCAUCCUGGACCAACACUGACACUGAGGAGCGAAAGCCAGGGGAGCAAACGGG